GACGAACGCUGGCGGCGUGCUUAACACAUGCAAGUCGAACGGAAAGGCCCUGCUUUUGUGGGGUGCUCGAGUGGCGAACGGGUGAGUAACACGUGAGUAACCUGCCCUUGACUUUGGGAUAACUUCAGGAAACUGGGGCUAAUACCGGAUAGGAGCUCCUGCUGCAUGGUGGGGGUUGGAAAGUUUCGGCGGUUGGGGAUGGACUCGCGGCUUAUCAGCUUGUUGGUGGGGUAGUGGCUUACCAAGGCUUUGACGGGUAGCCGGCCUGAGAGGGUGACCGGCGAGAGGGGGCAGAGCGUACUGCACCGACUACAGCGGGGGGCAGGGGGGGGAGAUAUGACACAGUGGGCGGACGUCGGCGGCAGCACGCCGGCGGGGGGGGGGGCGGCCUGCGGGUGGUCAACCGCGUCCGGGGGUGAGGAGGCGGGGGGGAAGGGAAGGGAAAAAGAGGCACCGGCUAACUAGGGGCCAGCAGCGGCGGUAAAGAUCGAAGAGCACACAUCUGAAC
rnacentral:rRNA from 1 species